rnacentral:rRNA from 1 species
UCCGUAGGUGAACCUGCGGAAGGAUCAUUGUCGAAGCCUAGAAUGCGUGACCGUGGAUGAGUUUACAAUCGAGUGAAAGUCAUUGGACCCUCGGGCUCCAUAGCGUCAACUCGCUCGGCUGGCGAGCAGACUCAUUAUUUGCUCGUCUCCCGAAUUUAACGAACCCCGGCGUGGUUAGCGCCAAGGUAUCAAAACGAAAAGAACUUGGUCCCCCCAUCUCGAUGAUCGGGAUGCGAGAGACUUGUCUCUAUUCAAAAAAAAUCAUAACGACUCUCGGCAACGGAUAUCUUGGCUCUCGCAUCGAUGAAGAACGUAGCAAAAUGCGAUACCUGGUGUGAAUUGCAGAAUCCCGUGAAUCAUCGAGUCUUUGAACGCAAGUUGCGCCCGAAGCCUUUAGGUUGAGGGCACGUCUGCCUGGGCGUCAUGUUUUGCGAUGCCCCCAUGUAUGAGGGGUGAAUCUUGGCCUCCCGUAGUCUCUUGCUUGCGGUUGGCUUAAACGUGAGCUACAAGACUGGAAAAUGUCUCGACAAGUGGUGGUUGAAUGGGCAUCGGCCUUGAAACUUAGCAGGUUGGGACCUUUUCAAUCUAGUGCUGGAAAAGACCUUAAUGGAGUGACUUAACUGUGCUUCAGCAUUGUGACCCCAGGUCAGGCGGGACUACCCGCUGAGUUAA